rnacentral:sRNA from 1 species
UAGUAAUGGGAUGCUAGUGAAUUAUUG